rnacentral:rRNA from 1 species
GCUCAGGAUGAACGCUAGCUACAGGCUUAACACAUGCAAGUCGAGGGGUAGCAGGGUAGCAAUACCGCUGACGACCGGCGCACGGGUGAGUAACACGUAUCCAACCUUCCCAUAACUCGGGGAUAGCCUUUCGAAAGAAAGAUUAAUACCCGAUAGUACUUAAGAGAGGCAUCUUUUUUAAGUUAAAGAUUUAUUGGUUAUGGAUGGGGAUGCGUUCCAUUAGAUAGUUGGUGAGGUAACGGCUCACCAAGUCUUCGAUGGAUAGGGGUUCUGAGAGGAAGGUCCCCCACAUUGGUACUGAGACACGGACCAAACUCCUACGGGAGGCAGCAGUGAGGAAUAUUGGUCAAUGGGCGAGAGCCUGAACCAGCCAAGUAGCGUG